rnacentral:lncRNA from 1 species
AAGACUUGCUUGGGAUAUGAACUAGAUGAUUUCAUGUCUACUUUUAAUUAAUAACCAAGGCACCACAGCCUAUUGCAUCUGAGUAGGGAGCAGCACAUUUAGUUUUUCCAUUUGGCGGUGUUACAUUAAGUCUUCUUUAAGGGCUUUCCCCCCGCUUUCUGUCGUUUUUUUUCACUUCUUUUUUUUCCCCUUAGUAUCUGCUGGCUAAAGGAGGGAGGGCCAUUUUUACCUAAAAUCCACUUUGCUUUUGGCUCCCUGGACAGAAUGUCCUUGGAGUGGCACCAAGCUCUGGCUAAAGCUCUCUUCCUGCAGAUGCAUAGGGAGUCCCUGACCCCGUGACGUUUGGGAACAAGUGGAACUCGUGCAGAGGCAUCCAGGUAUUUCCAGAGACUGACGAGCGAGGUCUGCAAUCGCUUCCUAACAGCAGGCACGAAGGAGAUCAAGUACUGUUCAUGAAAAAAGCCCAGCCGGCAAGUUUGCCUCGUGAGCGUGUGAACUACGAAUCGCCACGGCGAAGAGAUCAAUGUGGAUAAUCUCAAAAUAACAGUGCCUCUCUUACUGUAAGCAUUUUAGAUGUGUCAUCAUAUUAAUCUUUUGCCCUUUACUAUUUCCGUUAAUUAAUUUUGCCCUUUAACUUUUGCUGAUCAAUGUGGACUAAAUUGUAAUUGCAACAUUUCUAUGAAAUAAUACAAAAUUAAGGCUGAUAGUAGCAU